AAGUUAUUGCACUUAAUUUGUUCUGUCUUAUUACCUUUCUUUACAUUUUGUACAAUCCGACAUGACGUUCUUUCAAAAAUAAGUUUUACGUAGUAGCGCUGUUUUUAUUGCAUUUAUAGCAUUUCUAAGAGAAAUUCAAGUCAGUUAAAAGUAUAUCUCUCGUAUAAUCUUUCUGUCUGUUUGUCUGUCUGUCGGUUUGUUU
rnacentral:lncRNA from 1 species